AAUGGGCGAAAGCCUGACGCAGCGACGCCGCGUGAGUGAUGAAGGCCUUAGGGUCGUAAAGCUCUGUUGAAUGGGAAGAAAAAAAUGACGGUACCAUUCGAGAAAGGACCGGCUAACUUCGUGCCAGCAGCCGCGGUAAGACGAGGGGUCCUAGCGUUGUUCGGAAUCAUUGGGCGUAAAGCGUAUGUAGGUGGCCUUAUAAGUCAGGUGUGAAAGCCCCGGGCUCAACCCGGGAAGUGCAUUUGAUACUGUUUGGCUUGAGUACCGAAGAGGAUAGUGGAAUUCCAGGUGUAGUGGUGAAAUACGUAGAUAUCUGGAGGAACACCGGUGGCGAAGGCGGCUAUCUGGUCGAGUACUGACACUGAGAUACGAAAGCGUGGGGAUCAAA
rnacentral:rRNA from 1 species